rnacentral:lncRNA from 1 species
AUCAGGUCCCUCCUUGUUAAAGAUGGGGAGGAUGUCUCACGGUGAGGUUGUGAAGCACCUACCACUGGCCGGGUGCAUACCUCCCUUUCUUUCUUCCUGGGAAAUUGCCUGCCGCCUGGCAUAUAUUUACUUCCAUCUGGGAUUUUAAAUUCAACUGAACAAAUAACAACCAUCGUGGGGAAGAUGCUGGCUGGAGGAAACUAGCGGAGAAAUCACGGCCUGGGUUCCACUCGUCCAUCUCGGCUGCUCGAGACUGUGAGGAGGUGGAGAAAUAAAACAUCUCUAUUUUCCGAAAGGGACACUGCUGGCUGGUUGGCUGCAAUGAAGAGAAGCCCUUUGACGCUAUAGCAAGCAAGAUUUGAAAACGAUGGUUUUGAACAGCCACCUGCUUGACACCAGGUGUGUGAAGCAUUCACACCCGACUGAAGCUUUUCUGCUGCUAGGAGCUCCUAGAAACACCGAGGACAUCAUACAAAGAGUUGGGAAUCCACAUGGGCUUUAAAUGGAAGGGUAGGUUGGGAAUCUGGACUCCACCACUUAACUAGCUGCACAUGUAGAGUUUUGAACAAGACUCUUAAAUUCUGUGAAGAACAAACUCCUCACCUGCACCGGGAGAUGACGUCAUUGGAGAUGCUCUGAGAAUUAAAAUAGACGGUGUGGAACACAUCAGCAGUUGUAUUCAUGAAAGAAAAGCUCUUCACUUUUACACAUGACUUUUCAGCUUCUAAAACUAAAUCAUGACCGUUCUUCAUUUGUCCUUAACAUAGCAGUUGAUUGUCUGAUUUUAGGAUUCAAGCAGAUACUUAUAACACACUUGUUUUGACCUAUGUUAUUAAUAAAUAAAAUAUAUGAUGGUGGUGG